GACGAACGCUGGCGGCGUGCUUAACACAUGCAAGUCGAACGGAAAGGCCCUGCUUUUGUGGGGUGCUCGAGUGGCGAACGGGUGAGUAACACGUGAGUAACCUGCCCUUGACUUUGGGAUAGCUUCAGGAAACUGGGGCUAAUACCGGAUAGGAGCUCCUGCUGCAUGGUGGGGGUUGGAAAGUUUCGGCGGUUGGGGAUGGACUCGCGGCUUAUCAGCUUGUUGGUGGGGUAGUGGCUUACCAAGGCUUUGACGGGUAGCCGGCCUGAGAGGGUGACCGGCCACAUUGGGACUGAGAUACGGCCCAGACUCCUACGGGAGGCAGCAGUGGGGAAUAUUGCACAAUGGGCGGAAGCCUGAUGCAGCAACGCCGCGUGCGGGAUGACGGCCUUCGGGUUGUGAACCGCUUUCGCCUGUGACGAAGCGUGAGUGACGGUAAUGGGUAAAGAAGCACCGGCUAACUACGUGCCAGCAGCCGCGGUGAUACGUAGGGUGCGAGCGUUGUCCGGAUUUAUUGGGCGUAAAGGGCUCGUAGGUGGUUGAUCGCGUCGGAAGUGUAAUCUUGGGGCUUAACCCUGAGCGUGCUUUCGAUACGGGUUGACUUGAGGAAGGUAGGGGAGAAUGGAAUUCCUGGUGGAGCGGUGGAAUGCGCAGAUAUCAGGAGGAACACCAGUGGCGAAGGCGGUUCUCUGGGCCUUUCCUGACGCUGAGGAGCGAAAGCGUGGGGAGCGAACAGGCUUAGAUACCCUGGUAGUCCACGCUGUAAACGGUGGGUACUAGGUGUGGGGUCCAUUCCACGGGUUCCGUGCCGUAGCUAACGCUUUAAGUACCCCGCCUGGGGAGUACGGCCGCAAGGCUAAAACUCAAAGGAAUUGACGGGGCCCCGCACAAGCGGCGGAGCAUGCGGAUUAAUUCGAUGCAACGCGUAGAACCUUACCUGGGUUUGACAUGGAUCGGGAGUGCUCAGAGAUGGGUGUGCCUCUUUUGGGGUCGGUUCACAGGUGGUGCAUGGCUGUCGUCAGCCCGUGUCGUGAGAUGUUGGGUUAAGUCCCGCAACGAGCGCAACCCUUGUUCACUGUUGCCAGCACGUUAUGGUGGGGACUCAGUGGAGACCGCCGGGGUCAACUCGGAGGAAGGUGGGGAUGACGUCAAGUCAUCAUGCCCCUUAUGUCCAGGGCUUCACGCAUGCUACAAUGGCUGGUACAGAGAGUGGCGAGCCUGUGAGGGUGAGCGAAUCUCGGAAAGCCGGUCUCAGUUCGGAUUGGGGUCUGCAACUCGACCUCAUGAAGUCGGAGUCGCUAGUAAUCGCAGAUCAGCAACGCUGCGGUGAAUACGUUCCCGGGGCU
rnacentral:rRNA from 1 species